rnacentral:snoRNA from 1 species
AAGCCAUGAUGUGGCACAUUAAUCAACAAAUCCUUGAAUCUCUCCCAAGCUGCAUACAACGACUCGCCCUCGUCCUGGCGAAAAGAAACAAUCCGGUUCCGUAGUUU